AGCAAUGAUGAGACUCGAACAUAUCUGUGAGAGAGAUGAGUAUUCGAAUUUGUAAUUUCCCGUUCAAUCCAAGCUUCGCGCCGCAACCUCGCGCCCAUAUCUCCUCGAGGUCUACACGAAUCUUCGCUCGUACAGAGAACGAUUCUCUACAAUCAAAAGCUUCUGAUCAACAACAACUCAAUCUCUCUGUUCUUCGUUUCACUUUUGGGAUUCCUGGGCUAGACGAAUCUUAUCUACCGAGAUGGCUCGGGUACGGGUUUGGAUCACUUCUUCUUCUUAACCACUUCUCAGCUUCUGGUCCAGUCAGUGAACCUCAAUUGAGAUCAGAAGCGUUGGGGAUAUCACUUGCUGCAUUCUCAGUAGCUUUACCUUACAUUGGAAAAUUCCUCAAGGGUUCUGUAGUGGAGCAGAGAACUCUACCUGAAGAGGGAGAGCAAGUUUUUGUAAUAUCAUCAAAUAUCGGAGAUUCUUUGAAGGAGGAUUUAGCAUGGGCAACUUAUGUUUUGUUGAGGAAUACAAGUACUAUAGCUGUGUUGAUAUCGGUUCAAGGUGAGCUUUGUGUUCGUGGGUACUGGAAUUGUCCAGAUCAGAUGUCAAAGGCUCAGUUACAUGACUGGUUCAAGAAAAAGGUAGAUGAAAUUGGCUUGGCUGAUGUGAAGGAGACCCUUUAUUUCCCUCAGUAUGAAGGUUCUGCUGCAUCUUGGGAUAUUCUUCCCGAUGGGACACGUUCUCUUUUUGUACAACCUCUUGUACAAGAUAUAAAUGAACCGAAGAAAAUGGACGGGUUUUUGCUGGUCGCUUCUACUGCUGGAUAUGCAUAUAGCGAUAAAGAUAGAGCCUGGAUUGGAGCUAUGGCUGAUAAAUUCAGAGGAUGACAUAAGCUUCUGGAGAAGGAAGAUCCUGCAUUUCAUAGUGGAAGGAGGCCAUGAUCACAGCCUGUUGGAGUAGUAUAGAUCCUAUGGAUAGAGUUGGUGCUACAAGGCAUCCCUAUAACACAAGCAGAGAGGAAAUUAUAUUAAACCGGCCCAUCUCUCGUCUAACAAGUGUUGUUUCAGGACUGACUCAACCUCACAAAGAAAGGAAACAUAAUAAACUUUCUGCGAGUAUCUCACCCUGUGCUCACCAUGGUGGCCUUGUCACAUAGUGCAGAUAAAGCAGAUACUGUCUCUGGCUUAAUCCGAGGUUGAGAAGCGGAGCAGGUAAAAGAAGGCCUUGAAGGUUUGAGAUGUCGUGGUAGGUUAAAGAAGUGGCAGUUCACAGCUGCCAU